rfam:Ixodes scapularis strain Wikel colony gcontig_1108378221498, whole genome shotgun sequence.
CCCUAAUUAGCUCAGUUAGUAGAGCGCUCCACUGGAAAUGGAGAGGUCCCCGGUUCGAUACCCGGACCAGGCG